UAGGGAAUAUUGGGCAAUGGACGGCAGUCUGACCCAGCCAUCCCGCGUGCAGGAAUAAGGUCCUCUGGAUUGUAAACUGCUUUUAUUAGGGAAGAAAGAGACUAUUUAUAGUAAGUUGACGGUACCUAAUGAAUAAGCACCGGCUAACUCCGUGCCAGCAGCCGCGGUAAUACGGAGGGUGCAAGCGUUAUCCGGAUUCACUGGGUUUAAAGGGUGCGUAGGCGGUUAUUUAAGUCAGUGGUGAAAGCUCAUUGCUUAACAAUGAAACUGCCAUUGAAACUGAGUAACUUGAGUAUAGAUGAAGUGGGCGGAAUAUAUCAUGUAGCGGUGAAAUGCAUAGAGAUGAUAUAGAACACCGAUUGCGAAGGCAGCUCACUAAUGUAUAACUGACGCUGAGGCACGAAAGCGUGGGUAUCGAACAGG
rnacentral:rRNA from 1 species